CAACCACCUGCCGGGCUUCGAUGCGUCAUAGCCCCUGGUUGCCAGGAAGGUCCGCAGGGAGUCCGGGGGAGGAGCAAAUGCAGAGUGCCUGCCGGUUCUCCAGCAAGAAGCAGACCUCCUCCUGCUCCCCCCGGGGGGGUGACGGCCAGAGGUGCCCUGGGCUGCAUCUCUUGGCCUUUGCAGGAGCUGGUGCAGAUGCAAGAGCCACGGGUUGGAACACGAGCAGUUGGGGUCCGUUUUGAGCUGAGAUGGGGACGGAGGUCCAAAACAGGCGACACGGGGAGACCUUGGAGCUGCUGGAGAUUUCCUCAUCGCUACACACUCCUGAUGUCUGUACCUGGAUGUCGCUGGACGCUUGUUGCUCUCUGCCCAUCCCCCAAGCCCCACAUCGAGACCUGUAUGAGAAGGAGGCUCAGUAAGAGUUUAAGGCAGAACAGCCACUUUCCACCAACAUCGUAUUCUUUGCGAAGUGUUUUCCCCUCUGUCACUCCAACUAUUUCUCGUCAAAUCCAUACAAGGGAGGUAUUUCACCCCAGAUGGUGGAUGAAGAAACUGCCCCUGUUGGCUUAGGAGGUAAGGUGGGGAGGCACCAUGAGGGGGCUUGUUCCCUAUUCCCAGGGCACCCCCCGGCCUUCCAAGGGAGGGGGAAGGAGGAGAGGGAA
rnacentral:lncRNA from 1 species